rnacentral:rRNA from 1 species
AUUGAACGCUGGCGGCAGGCCUAACACAUGCAAGUCGAACGAGUGGCGGACGGGUGAGUAAUGUAUGGGGACUGCCCGAUAGAGGGGGAUAACUACUGGAAACGGUAGCUAAUACCGCAUACUAUCGGAUAACCCAUAUGGGAUUAGCUAGUUGGUGAGGUAAUGGCUCACCAAGGCGACGAUCCCUAGCUGGUCUGAGAGGAUGAGCACCCACACUGUGACUGAGACACGGCCCAGACUCCUACGGAGGAAGCAGUGGGAAAUUUUGCACAAUGGGCGCAAGCCUGAUGCAGCCAGGCCGCGUGUAUGAAGAAGGCCCUAGGGUUGUAAAGUACUUUCAGUCGGGAGGCGUUACCGACAGAAGAAGCACCGGCGAACUCCGUGCCAGCAGCCGCGGUAAUU